GCAGCAGUGGUUCAGAGGCAGAAUUCUCGCCUUCCAAGCAGGAGACCCAGGUUCAAUCCUCGGCCAAUGCA
rnacentral:tRNA from 1 species